UGGCGGCACUAGCGCGGUGGUCCCACCUGACCCCAUGCCGAACUCAGAAGUGAAACGCCGUAGCGCCGAUGGUAGUGUGGGGUCUCCCCAUGUGAGUA
rnacentral:rRNA from 1 species